CUCUAACUCUCUCUCCCUUCCGCCGCCAUCCAGAACCACAGAUGGCACCUGGUUUUCGUAUGGGAUUCCGGUGGAACAACACUUUAAAUUGAUCGCAGCAUUGUGAUAUCUUCUCUCAAGAAUUUUGAAGCUGAAAUUGCUUGAUGCAUACAUCUCUAGAUACAUAUUGUUUCAUCAAUCGAUUGGUCAUGAAGAUGUUUUUAUUGAUGAGGCAAAAGGUAUUCUUUCACUUGAAUUCCUAAUCUGGUUCCAGGAGAGAAAGCUCUUUUUAGGUUUUCAGUUCAGUGAUUGAAAAGAUGGCCAAGUGACAGUGGUUUGAUUGGUAUUGGAAUUCAAGUGAAAGAAUGGCUAUAGCUCCAAGGUCAUGAAUCAAGUGGAGGAGCCCUUUUUGCUUAUAAUUGCAAAAAAAAAAGAAGAUUCCUUUUUUUGCUCAUAAUGCCCUUUACAAUUGCAAUUAUGAUUUUUCCUCUCCAAAAAAGAAGUUUCAUUUCUCCACAGUGAAAUUCGACCCUACAAUCUCAAGAAUCAGAAGAAUGGAUAGACUAUUAAUACUACGGCAAUGCUUCUUUCAAGCCAUGGUUAGUUCAUCAAUUUAAUCUGACAUGCGUAGCUAAACUAUCACUAGAUUAGCUAUUCUGGUUAAGUCUUACUCUUGCGUCAAAAUACAUGCUGCGAGACAGGCAGACACUACUUUAUGUGAAUCGAUUGGCAUAUACAUAUUUUUGGCUGAAGUACACCAGAAUGAGAUUGACUCAGAAUCAUUCAUGUCUAACUUUUUGGAACAAUGACAAGUCUAUAAUAUUAGUGGACAGGGGGAGUGCUAUGCGGUUAUGACAAAGAUGUUUGAUGAGUUCCAAACACUGCUUAAAAGUUGUGGAUAGCAAACUUCAUCAACUAGCUGAACAUGAGAUGAAAAGGAGUGAUCAGAUUACCAAGAGAUACUGCUGAGUUGGGGUGUUCCAUGAAAAAGACUAACUUAGGACCUGCAUUAACUUAUGUAGGGAUGGUUUGCAUGAAAAAGGCUGGUUCUCUUUAGUUGCAGUCCGCUGUGAUGCGUGGCUACUUGUUAGUUACGCAUUUUCCAGUAUGAGUUCAUUAUUAGAUUAGCUACGAGAGGACCCGCUAAUUUGAAGAAAACUUUUUCAGCGAAGUAGUUUAUGGACUGAAGAAUCAGUAAACCAGGUAUGCCUGCGAUUGCUGCAACAAAAAUACAGUCAUCAAUGUAAAAGUUAACACAGUCAAAUAUUUUGACGACCUUAACAUUAUUUGAAAUUAUGGAUGCAACAAAAGCGAUUGCUGCAUAUAAGCUGCCCAACUACAACUCUGGCAAGGUUGAGGUGCAAUAUUUCCAUGAUCAUGCAACCGUCACAUCAGCUGUUGGCUUGAACCAGUCCCCUGCGAUUAAUGUUACAUCAAGAGUGGGUUCCAAGCAUUGCUUUUGGUGCAGAGGCUAGUUAUGAUAUAAGUGCAGGUGAUGGCAAAGUACAAUGCUGGUAUUAGUGUGACUAGUCCAGACUAUAAGCUUCAAUUAUUUUGUCUGAUAAGAGGGAUACAACGUCUUGAUGUGUGGAAAAGGACUUUUGAUGUGUCAGAGGUCUGCAGGAAGUUCUCCACCAACGAGAACACAAUCACAGUAGGAAGUUCAUAUGCAGUUGAUCCCGUGACAUCGGUGUCAACAACCAUGGGAAGCAAGUCCUUCUUGUCACUCUCUGGUGAGUUUGACUCCAAGGCCUUGGAUACGACUCCCAGGUUCAGACUGUCCCGCGCUCUGAAGCCUUGAGUGAUCAGUUUUCUGGAUAUUCAUUGUCUCUAAUUGAUCUUAUGCUGCUGGGAUUCGUUGACCUUGCUUUUUGUUGGUGUCAAAAAAGCUGAAAAUAAAUAGUGCCGCACUUUUUACCUAUAUUUUUUUUUAUGUUUCGGAUGCCUCUGGAUUUGUUUUGCUCAAUUGUUAGGCAAAUAUAAGAGAGAUGUAUUUUC